UACGGGAAGGCAGCAGUGGGGAAUAUUGCACAAUGGGCGCAAGCCUGAUGCAGCCAUGCCGCGUGUAUGAAGAAGGCCUUCGGGUUGUAAAGUACUUUCAGUCGUGAGGAAGGUGUUAAGGUUAAUAACCUUAGCAAUUGACGUUAGCGACAGAAGAAGCACCGGCUAACUCCGUGCCAGCAGCCGCGGUAAUACGGAGGGUGCGAGCGUUAAUCGGAAUUACUGGGCGUAAAGGGCACGCAGGCGGUUAAUUAAGUUGGAUGUGAAAUCCCCGGGCUUAACCUGGGAAUGGCAUUCAAGACUGGUUAGCUAGAGUCUUGUAGAGGGGGUAGAAUUCCAUGUGUAGCGGUGAAAUGCGUAGAGAUGUGGAGGAAUACCGGUGGCGAAGGCGGCCCCUGGACAAAGGCUGACGCUCAUGUGCGAAAGCGUGGGGAGCAAACAGGGAUUAGAUA
rnacentral:rRNA from 1 species